rnacentral:rRNA from 1 species
AUUGAACGCUGGCGGAAUGCUUUACACAUGCAAGUCGAACGGCAGCACGGGGCAACCUGGGUGGCGAGUGGCGAACGGGUGAGUAAUACAUCGGAACGUGCCCAAUCGUGGGGGAUAACGUAGCGAAAGUUACGCUAAUACCGCAUACGAUCUACGGAUGAAAGCGGGGGAUCGCAAGACCUCGCGCGAAUGGAGCGGCCGAUGUCAGAUUAGGUAGUUGGUGGGGUAAAGGCUCACCAAGCCAACGAUCUGUAGCUGGUCUGAGAGGACGACCAGCCACACUGGAACUGAGACACGGUCCAGACUCCUACGGGAGGCAGCAGUGGGGAAUUUUGGACAAUGGGCGCAAGCCUGAUCCAGCCAUUCCGCGUGCAGGAUGAAGGGCCCUUCGGGUUGGUAAACUGCUUUUG